CGUGGAUCAGAAAGUUGCAAUUCUUUACCGAGCCACAUAUCAGACAACGACGGAAAAGCUGGGCCGUUUGUCGCCUGUUUCCUCUCAAGAACAGCUUCGUCCCCCUUUCGUCUACGAGUGAGCUGCUCGUGGCAGCGGCGCUAAUUUCGGCCACCCGCGGCCGCGACCAAGGAAAACGGAGGACGCUGGUGUGGAGUUUCUUCUCGACGCCGUCGACAGGUUCCCGCUGCGGGAGGAAUAUGUGGAUAACAUUGAACACCCAGAUCCGGUUCCUCUGGUCUUGUUGCCCGCGAGAGACACCAACUGUGGCGACCCUGAGGACUCAAAUGCUGGGUCUGGCUGCAGGCAAUGGCUCAGCGACGAUGGAGCUGACAAAGCACGAGACGGAGUCCGCCGGUGUUCAGAUUUAUCUCCGACCAUGUCAGCGCAGUCAACUGACAAAGUCAACCCACAAGCCCCAAGUUGGACCAAAAGAUAAAACCUGAAAACUACUUUGAUAAUUGAAGAUUUUUGGCAUCCGGUUGCCGGGAGCCAGGUGGCUUGUUACAUCAAUCACAAAUCGAAGCACUAUGAGCAGCUCAGAGCCUAAUUGCUGCUGGCAAACAGAACCAAGGUGCGGCAGAAGCAAACGAAGAGGACCAGCCUGGACCAGGAACUUCUAAUGGUGCAGGACAUCAAAACGGGAAAACUAUAAUGGAAGAAAUCUCAGAUUCCUUGAGCAGUGACAGUGAUGGCAAUGGCGAUGAUCCAAACGAUUGCAUUAUCAAGGCAUAUCAGAGAGUAGAAGACAGAGGUUUGCCAUGCAAAUUUAGUGGUUUUGCUUCUUGUAAUUGCUGUGCUGACAUUUAACGUUUAUACAAACUUAAUAAAGGUCAACCCCUAGGGCUACAGAGUUCGCAGGGAAGCCUCCGUAUUAGGAAUGACGUGGAAGGUGGCCAUGUCACAGGUUUAUGCUUCAAAAAAUAUCGUAUAGCUGGUGUGGAAAACAUGUUUGUGAGGAGCUGUUGAAAAGCAACAUCUGAUUGAAUAAGUGCACAUGACAGGUUUUGCGCCACGGAGUAUGAUGAGGCUGAGGCAAAGACGGUUGAUGUUUGAACUUCUGUUUUUCUGAUAUCUAGGUUGCUAAUGAAAACAAUACACUCAUUUGUUGAUUGUAGAUGCUGCCUCUCCUGGAGGCCAAGAGCAAGGUGGAGAAACGGGGGAAGCUGGAGACGACGUUGCUAAUGAUGACAUUAAUUGGGAAGAACUGAAGAAUGAAAGCCAGGAAGCACCACCAAUGACAACUCAAGAGCAAAUGGAUACUGAUAAUCAAUUUGCGUGAAACCUUGAUCACUAUGCAAUGGCACAGAGUUGGACGUUGAAUUGAUGAAGAUCACAUAGAUUCGAUGUGGCAUCGAAGGUGCCAACAAAUUACAUGGGAGAGCAAGUUGCAUCGGGGGGAGAGUCCGAUACAAUUGAUGAAGAUCACAUAGAUUCUAUGCUGGCCUCCUUGAACAUGUGCAUUCCCCGGAUUGCGUGGACUAGAGCGAUGUGGUGGUUGGGAGUGGCAGGCCUAGAGACAACGUGGAUGAAGAUCCUUCGUGCAAUGGUGUGAUACUGCUUGGCUGGCAUAGUGAAGACCGUGAAGCACAAGCUGAGUCUAGCAGCGAAGGUGUCUGUGCUAAUCAGAAACGGAAAAUCCUGUCGCCGCUUUGUGGAUGUGGUUACAAACUGUCGGCCUGGACUGUCUUUUCAUUGAGAUGAUGAAGGUAUUCAUCCUUCCUAGGCAGGCAGAAUUGCUGUAACAAUUGCUGUAACUAUGAUCCAGUGCCCAGCUGCUAAACAUUGUAUUAAGCGAAAAAAUUGGCCUCA